rnacentral:rRNA from 1 species
UACAGAGGUCUCAAGCGUUGUUCGGAUUCAUUGGGCGUAAAGGGUGUGUAGGUGGCGCCGUAAGUCGGGUGUGAAAUCUCGGGGCUUAACUCCGAAACUGCAUUCGAUACUGCGGUGCUUGAGGACUGGAGAGGAGACUGGAAUUCAUGGUGUAGCAGUGAAAUGCGUAGAGAUCAUGAGGAAGACCAGUGGCGAAGGCGGGUCUCUGGACAGUUACUGACACUGAGACACGAAGGCCAGGGGAGCAAACGGG